UUUGAUAUCCAAAGUAUUGAUAUCGGGUCUCGUCACGAUGUUGGCGUGGUUCGUAUCAUUUGGUACUCAGAGCCAUCUUCCUAAGAAGGUUUCGCCUAUCCUUUCUCUUUAUUUUUGAGUCAGUCUUUUGUUUUUUUUUUUCGUGUCUUCGUUUUGUUUUUCGUUUCGUGUCUAUUGUUGUUGAGUCUUCUAGUCUUUUGUUUUGUUUGUCUAGAGUCCACAAAAAAAAAAUCGAAAAAAAAGAAAAAAAUGAAAGAACGAGUGAGUUUUGUUAUUCGUUAAUCUCAAGAACUCUAUUAAGUUUCUUUGUUGUGGGGUCAACAUUAUAACUUUGGUUCGUGGUUCUAUAUAGCCAUUGGGUCAAGUUGGUUGUUCCAUACUUUUGGUUUGCGUUUCUAUACAAACGUUAGGUCGGAGUGCUAACAAGAAAAAUUUAAUCUUGUUUAUUGGAUGGUGAAUUUCAUUAUUAUUUGUUCGUUAAAAAAAAAAAAAAAAAGAGAAGUUCCAAAUACAGCGAAGAACUUUCUGCCUCAUGGACUCGCUUUCAAUACUACACGCUCAUUCAAUACUACACGCUUAUUUAUUAGUUUCCUUAUUAUAGAUUAGGUAAGAGUCCUUUUCCUUGUGAAAAAUGAGUUUUUUUUGAUCUUAUAAAUAUGAAGCCAAUUUGGCUGAUAUUAAGGGACGAAUUUUAAUGAUUAAAUGGAGUUUAUUCUCUUUGGUUCUUUAAGAACUGUUCGAACAUUUCGGUGGAUUCCGUUUGUUCACCCCGACUUAUCAAUCGAUCUUCCGCAAUCGAUUGUGGCGUCUUCACAUACCAAGGUUCUUGCCUCUUUAUAGGCAAUGGGUCGCGGUUCCACCCUUUGAUUCCUUCUUUGGACGGUCCGGGAUUUGAUAUCCGAAGUAUUGAUAUCGGGUCUCGUCACGAUGUUGGCGUGGUUCGUAUCAUUUGGUACUCAGAGCCAUCUUCCUAAGAAGGUUUCGCCUAUCCUUUCUCUUUAUUUUUGAGUCAGUCUUUUGUUUUUUUUUUCGUGUCUUCGUUUUGUUUUUCGUUUCGUGUCUAUUGUUGUUGAGUCUUCUAGUCUUUUGUUUUGUUUGUCUAGAGUCCACAAAAAAAAAUCGAAAAAAAA
rnacentral:lncRNA from 1 species